rnacentral:pre_miRNA from 1 species
AAAGUACUCCCUCCAUCCCAAAAUUCUUAUCUUAGAUUUGUCUAGAUACAGAUGUAUCAAGUCACAUUUUAGUAUUAGAUACAUCCAUAUCUAGACAAAUCUAAGACAAGAAAUUUGGGACAGAGGGAGUAGUUG